UACAGAGGGUGCAAGCGUUAUCCGGAAUCACUGGGCGUAAAGCGUCUGUAGGUGGUUUAAUAAGUCAACUGUUAAAUCUUGAGGCUCAACCUCAAAAUCGCAGUCGAAACUAUUAGGCUAGAGUAUAGUAGGGGUAAAGGGAAUUUCCAGUGGAGCGGUGAAAUGCGUAGAGAUUGGAAAGAACACCGAUGGCGAAGGCACUUUACUGGGCUAUUACUAACACUCAGAGACGAAAGCUAGGGUAGCAAAUGGG
rnacentral:rRNA from 1 species